CCUACGGGAGGCAGCAGUGAGGAAUAUUGGUCAAUGGCCGUAAGGCUGAACCAGCCAAGUAGCGUGAGGGAAGACUGCCCUAUGGGUUGUAAACCUCUUUUAUGCGGGGAUAAGGGUGUCCACGUGUGGGUGUUUUCAGGUACCGCAUGACGAAGGACCGGCUAAUUCCGUGCCAGCAGCCGCGGUAAGACGGAAGGUCCGGGCGGUAUCCGGAGUUGUGGGGUUGAAAGGAAGCGUAGGCGGAAUGCCAAGGCAGCGGGAAAAGCGCGGGGCUGAACCCAGCUCCGCCGUGGAAACUGGCGGUCUUGAGUGGGCGAGAAGUAUGCGGAAUGCGAGGUGUAGCGGUGAAAUGCAUAGAUAGCACGCAGAACUCCGAUGGCGAAGGCAGCAGACUGGCGCCCAACUGACGCUGAAGCACGAAAGCGUGGGUAGCGAACAGGAUUGGAUACCCGAGUAGUC
rnacentral:rRNA from 1 species